AUGGACGAGACCGGCUCAUCCCCCCCGCUGCACGUCGUUAUCUGCCCGUGGCUCGCCUUCGGCCACCUGCUCCCCUGCCUGGACCUCGCCGAGCGUCUGGCGUCGCGGGGCCACCGCGUGUCGCUCGUCUCUGCGCCGCGAAACAUCGCGCGGCUCCCGCCUGUGCGCCCAGCUAUGGCGCCGUUCGUCGGCCUCGUGGCACUGCCAUUCCCACGCGUGGCCGGGCUCCCCGAUGGUGUCGAGUCCACCAACGACGUCCCCUUCGACAAGUUCGAGCUCCAUCGCAAGGCGGCCGACGGCCUCACCGCGCCCUUCUCCGACUACUUGGAGUCCCUAUGCGCCGAGCCCGGCGGAAGGAAGCCCGAUUGGAUCAUCGUGGACUACUUCAACGACUGGGCGGCCGCCGCCGCCAUCCAACACAAGGUUCCAUGUGCGAUGCUUGUCCUACUCGCUGCGACUGUGGUUGCCACCUUGGACAUUAUACUGUCCGAGCGCACCGCGUCCCGAUCGGAAGGAGCGCCAAGGUUCGUGACGGAGAAGACGGGGCUAAUGUCUCUACAAUGCAAAUGGGGGAUGUCCAUCGCCGAGCAGGUCUCCUUGACGCUCCAGAGGUGCAAUCUCGUUGCCAUGCGGAGCUGCAAUGAGUGGGAGCCCGAGAGCGUCGCUCAUGCCGCGACGUUCGGCGGCAAGCCGGUUGUCCCCUUCGGCCUCCUGGCGCCGUCGCCUGACGGAGGUCGCCGCGGCGACAGCGGCAAGGACGAUACGGCCGUGAGAUGGCUCGAUGCGCAGCCGGCCAAGUCGGUCGUGUACGUCGCGCUCGGAAGCGAGGUGCCGCUGCGCCCGGAGGAGGUGCGCGAGCUUGCCCUCGGGCUUCAGCUGGCCGGGACGCGCUUCCUCUGGGCUCUGAGGAAGCCACCGGCUGUCGACGCCGACGUGCUCCUCCCUCAGGGGUUCGAGGAGUGCACGCGCGGCCAUGGCCUCGUGAUAACGGGCUGGGUUCCUCAGCUCGGGAUACUGGCGCACGACGCCGUGGCUGCGUUCCUGAUGCACUGCGGCUUGAGCUCCACCAUCGAGGGGCUCCUGUUCGGGCGUCCUCUCAUCAUGCUGCCCAUCAUGGGGGACCAAGUGCCGAAUGCAAGGCUGAUGGAGUGUAGGAAGGUCGGCGUGCUGGUGCCGAGAAACGAGAAGGACAGUUCGUUUGACCGAGAAGGCGUCGCGACGGCGAUUCGGGCUGUGGCGGUAGAGGAAGAAGGUAGGAGAGUGUUUACAGCCAACGCCAAGAAGCUGCAAGAGAUCGUGUCAGAGACGGAGUGCCAUGAGAGGCAUAUUGACCGGUUUAUUCAGCAGCUUAGAUGUUACAAGUAG
rnacentral:rRNA from 1 species